AGAGUUGAUCAUGGCUCAGGAUGAACGCUAGCUACAGGCUUAACACAUGCAAGUCGAGGGGCAGCAUGGUCUUAGCUUGCUAAGACCGAUGGCGACCGGCGCACGGGUGAGUAACGCGUAUCCAACCUUCCCCUUAGUAGGGCAUAGCCCGUAGAAAUGCGGAUUAAUACCCUAUGUUGUAUAUUGAGGACAUCUGAUUUAUACCAAAGGUUUACCGCUAAGGGAUGGGGAUGCGUCUGAUUAGGUUGUUGGCGGGGUAACGGCCCACCAAGCCUACGAUCAGUAGGGGUUCUGAGAGGAAGGUCCCCCACAUUGGAACUGAGACACGGUCCAAACUCCUACGGGAGGCAGCAGUGAGGAAUAUUGGUCAAUGGGCGAGAGCCUGAACCAGCCAAGUAGCGUGCAAGGAUGACGGCCCUAUGGGUUGUAAACUGCUUUUAUAUAGGGAUAAAGUCACCCACGUGUGGGCGUUUGUAGGUACUAUAUGAAUAAGGACCGGCUAAUUCCGUGCCAGCAGCUGC
rnacentral:rRNA from 1 species